rnacentral:lncRNA from 1 species
CGGGCCGGGGGAGCCGCCUGCCGCAGAUGCGCGGCGUCCUCGGAACCGCGUGAAUUCCGCCCGCACCUGCUGAACGCAGAGCUGGACCUCGAGGCCUGAAGGAGCCCCCAGAGCGACGCUCCCGCCCUCCCCCCGCUGGACCCCCAGGACGCAUGGCCCUUCGCAGCUCUGGGAAGCCGGACAGCGGGUGUCACUUGGGACCCUCCCCGUCCUGGCUCCCUUCCCAGCACAGCCUCCCCACGACCUCCUGCCCCUCCCGCCCGCUGGGCCACCAGGAGAACCGGCCCUGCGACGACCUUGGACCCCCCCCAGGCCCAGGUGCAGGUCUGGCUUAAGUUUCCUCAGAAGUGCCAGGAGCUUUAAAGGGCGUCUUUCCUCUCCCUCGGCCCCUUCCUCGAGACAUCAAGCGGACACGUCCGGCAGGCAUGGGUGACAGGGGCGCAGAAGAGCGG